rnacentral:rRNA from 1 species
UAGAUACCCUGGUAGUCCACGCCGUAAACGAUAAGUGCUAGGUGUUAGGCCCUUUCCGGAGCUUAGUGCCGCAGCUAACGCAUUAAGCACUCCGCCUAAGGAGUACAACCGCAAGGUUGAAACUCAAAGGAAUUGACAAAGGCCCGCACAAGCAGUGGAGCAUGUGGUUUAAUUCGAAGCAACGCGAAGAACCUUACCAGGUCUUAACAUCCCUCUGACCGCUCUAGAGAUAGAGUUUUCCUUCAGGACA